GACGAACGCUGGCGGCGUGCUUAACACAUGCAAGUCGAACGGAAAGGCCCUGCUUGCAGGGUACUCGCGUGGCGAACGGGUGUGUAACACGCGGGUGAUCUGCCCUCCACUUCGGGAUAAGCCUGGGAAACUGGGUCUAUUACCGGAGAGGAGCCCUCUUUCUUGUGGUGGUUGGAAAGUUUUUUCGGUGUAGGAUGAGCUCGCGGCCUAUCUGCCUGGUGGUGGGGUAAGGGCCUACCAAGGCGGCGACGGGUAGCCGGCCUGGGGGGGUGGACGGCCAAAAUUGGGCUGGGGAACGGCCCAGGCUCCUUCGGGGAGCAGCAGGUGGGAAAAUUGCACAAUGGGGGCGAACCUGAUGCAACGACGGCGCGUGGGGGAUGACGGCCUUCGGGUUGUAAACUCCUUUCGCUAGGGACGAAGCUGUGUGUGACGGUACCUAGAUAAGAAGCACCGGCUAACUACGUG
rnacentral:rRNA from 1 species